rnacentral:rRNA from 1 species
UACGGAGGGUGCGAGCGUUGUCCGGAAUCACUGGGCGUAAAGGGCGCGUAGGCGGCUCGUCAAGCGUGGGGCGAAAGCCCCGGGCUCAACCUGGGAAUUGCAUUUGAGACUGCAUAGCUAGGGUGCGGAAGAGGGAAGCGGAAUUUCCGGUGUAGCGGUGAAAUGCGUAGAUAUCGGAAGGAACACCAGUGGCGAAAAGCGGCUUU